UGAUUGGUAGCUCAGUGGAAGAGCAUCUGUACUGGCAGUCAGAGUGUUCCGGGUUCGAAUCCUGCACAAUCUA